GGCUGAUUGUAUGAUAGGAGUUUCCAUUAAGCAGGUAUGCUUCUUGAAGCUAUAUCUGAAUAGAGAUUACUUGUAUCUUGAUGUCAAGAAGCCUUACUGAUGCAGCUCUUUGUUCUUCAACCCUGGCUCAGUGAGAAACAGUGACUGAAAAAUAUGGGAAGAAAUAACGGGGGGAAAAAAGCUCUACGGAGCUCUGCUCUGGACAUCUCAUUCCUAUGGAUGGUUGAGAACUGAAGAGCACAGAUUUCAGGUCUAUUCUUUCCACCUCCAGUGUAGUAGAAAUUAACAGCAAUAAUAAAAGAAAUGGC
rnacentral:lncRNA from 1 species